AGUACUUGACUUUUAGGGACCAAAAUGAAAUUUUCCAAAAGAAGUGAUUUUGAAAUUAUUUUUCAUCAAAAUGAAAGAUCUAAAAAUAUAGGUUGCAAAAGUUCAAACGGUUUGAAAAAAGGAUUUUUACAGCCUAAGUUAUGAUUUUUCAAAGAUUUAAAGAAUUAUUUUUUGCCCCCCUAAAGUCAUCUUUCGGCUUCCGAAAGUCAGGGACAGAAACGAAAGUCCCAUAUGUUCGGCCGCCGAACAUUGACUUUCGGCCGCCGAAAGUGGGUUUUCAACCAGCCCCCUA
rnacentral:lncRNA from 1 species